UAGCUCUUCGCUGGUUGUCACACGUCC
rnacentral:piRNA from 1 species